GAAGCCACCAAUCAGAGCCUGCACGCGGGUUUGCCUUCGCCGCCCCUCUGGCUCUGCCCUUUCCAACUGCCGGCGGGUCUCCCGAGCGGGAGCGCCUUCUUCUCUAGCGGGGGAAGGGUAGUCGCCGCUGUAGGAUAAGGAGAGUCCAAGCAUGGGCUUUAAUUUGUCUGACUGGCUAGAGACUGAGUUGGAAAUCUUUCGCCACGCCUCCUCCUCCCGGCCGAGCCUCAGUUUUUUCAACGAAGACCAGGAACUGGAGAAGACGCAGUCCAUCUGAAGAAUCGACCACUCCUGGACCCCGGACCACAACAUGGACUCUCCUGCAGCGCACCUAGAAAGAAUGUUCAAGAUCAAAUAUUCAGAAAAUAUUAAGCAAAUAUAUAUACUAUAAGGUGACUGAAGGGAUAUGCAACAACAUAGGAAGGACACAGUUAAAAUGAACAAGGCAGUCAUGCAAAUUGGGCUGGGUGGUAAAUGUAAAGGUUCCCCUCACACAUAUGUGCUAGUCAUUGCCGACUCUAGGGGGCGGUGCUCAUCUCCGUUUCAAAGCCAAAGAGCCAGCGCUGUCCGAAGACGUCUCUGUGGUCAUGUGGCCGGCAUGACUCAAUGCCAAAGCUGCACGGAACGCUGUUACCUUCCCACCAAAGAUCUCAGAAAUCUACUCACAUUGACUUAUGAUUAUCUUCACUGCUGUUCUCUUCAAAACAUCAAGAUGUCUGGAUCAGCUGAUCAAUGUUUUGGGCUCACCUCUUUCAGAGCUACUCUGGUGGCUGCAAAAGAAUGCUGCUAGUUCAUGAGUUGUUCAAACCUUCCUUAGCCAAUUGUAAC